CUGGAGCCGGUGUGUGCUGGGCGCUGGGAAGAGACAGAGCGGUCGGCCGUGCGGAGAGGUCGCAGUGAUUUUGGUCCUCUGUCCUCAGCAACCCCCGCACCCAGCAUCAGGAACCUGUGCCUCCCACACCCUCACCUGGCUGAGCCGCAGUAGUUCUUCAGUGGCAAGCUUUAUGUCCUGACCCAGCUAAAGCUGCCAGUUGAAGAACUGUUGCCCUCUGCCCCUGGCUUCGAGGAGGAAGAGGAGGAACAGCUUCUUUGCCUAUCAUCUGGAAGGUGACAGAACUGGGGUUGGGAAGGUCUGGACAGCUGGGGUGAUGGCUUUACGGGAGGGAAACCCUGGUCCUCUGGGGAGCCCUUACCCACACUGACCCAGCAAAAGAUUUAGGUUAAAGGCACUGUCUAAACUGGGGAAUAGGUGACUCCACCUCCCCAAGGUUAGUUGAUCUCUGUGUGGCAAUGGGAAGAAGUAGAAGGAAAGUCUGUUUACCUAGACUUUCUUAUAGGCCUGCCUUUCUUAUCUUACCACCAUCUCCACAGCACGCUCGCACACACAGGCAAACGAGCACACACACAAGCACACACUUUACUUUCCAUGAGGUCCAAAAGUAAAUGUAGUUAGGAAAAAGGGACACUGAGAAACUCCAAUCUAAGUAGUCAUUUGUUCAUUUAUAUUUCUCUAUUUAUUUUUAGAUUGGUCCAGGUUUUGGGUUUAGGGGUACUUACCCUUACACCUGUUGAUUUCUCCACCCGUACAGUGGGGAACCCCAUAGAUAAAUAGACAGGAAGGCAUCAAAAGUCCACCAGUGGUGACUCAGAGCCUGGGCUCUUCUCUUUAUGUGGAUGGAAAUGAAACAGCUCUUCACAUGAAUUGUUGUCCCUCCCCCACCCCUGACUACUCACCCAGCUCUGGGGGAUUGGGAUGGAAGGAAAGGCUAUGGUUAAGACCCAGGCAAGCUAGUGGGAGGCUAGCCCUCUCCUGACUUCUUACCAUGCAUGGGUGGCCCAAGGCUUUCCCCUCCACCUAAAGGAAAACUAGCUCUGGGUUGAGUUCUAGCAACCACUGCCAUUUAUUUUCUGCCUUUGCUUUCCAGGAUAGUGAGACUCUGCUCAAUACUGUGCAGGCAAGAAAUUGUCUCCUGCAGCCAUCAGGGGAGAUGGGUUGUAUGAUAUGAGUCCCUUCUGCUGCCUCUAGCUCCUGAUUCAUUCUCACAUAUGGGCUCGGUCUCUGAUUGUGGUUCACCUUUGUCAGUCUUCCUAACAGAAGAUGGGUUCAGGGGGUACAGGAAGCUGUUUGUUCUAUUUGGCAGGAGGGGGAGGAGUUCUAGCCUAUUCCCCAUUUAUGAGAAACUGAAAGCCAUAGGGGAGACUAGAUCAUGUAAUCCAGCCCCGAUACAGUCUAAGGUGAGGGAUAGAUGUGUAAGGGACUGUAGCAGAUGGGGUGGGAGGCUGAGUCUGCUCACACACUGCAACAAAGAUUGCCCUGUCCCUCCACCUCGCUCGCUUUCUUUCCUCCUCACUUCACUGGCCACAGUGUGUCCCCUCAGCACAUGGCUCUGCUGUCUUCUCCAACAUGGAGCCUCAGAGGUGAGGAAGGGCAGCCUGGAGACAACAGAGGCAGGCAGAAGACAGUGGAGGACCUGGCCUGGAGCCACAAGGGCCUAUCCGGACAUUGGUCAGAGGGGCAUAUAGAAGCCUGGAGAACACCAGGAAAGAGAACAGCCAGCCAGCCUCAGUGAAAGACACACUUCCAGCCAUCUCCUCUCCAGACCUACCUCCCUGGGAGAUGAAGGACUUAAAGGAAGUAUGGUCCCAUCUCUUCUCUACCCCACAGUUUGUGUAUAAGCAGCCUCAAGGAACAUGAGCCACCUCUGAAAGGAAAUAUACAACAAAUUCAAAAGGAAAUUCAAAUGUGUAACACUAUGGAAAAACUUAUUUAUGUCUAGGGCUGUAGUUCAGUUGGUAGAAUGUUUGCUUAACAUGCGCCAAGCCCUGGUUCCGUCUUCUGCAUUGCAUAAAACUGGACAUGAUGGCCCAGGCCUCCAAUCCAGGCACUCUGGAGGUGGUGGCGAAGGAGCCUACAUUUAAGGUCAUCCUCUUUUACACAGUGAGUUCUGAGCCAGCCUGGACUACGUGAGACUGUCUCAAAAGAAAAAAGAAAAAAAAAAAGCAUUGGUUAGUAAUUCAAAGAAUGCAGAUGUCACUGAAAUCUUUUCCAUGGUCACAAUACAAGUCAGUGAGACUGCUGCACUUUGUGUGUGGCAGUGUCAGCCAUUGUAAGAGAUGCCUUUUGACCUAGUAAUUUUCUGUCUUAGAAAUAUAUCUUAAAAUAAGAAUUUGGUUAUAAAAUGUUCAUCUCAGGGUUGUAAUAGAGAAAAAUCGAAAGCAACUGUUUGUUUGGAAAUCCAUUCCUUUUCUGCUGUCAUGAAAAUUUAUAGCUGGGGAGUGCUUAAGUCAAUCAUACCCAUCUGAUGGUCCUUUAAUGUGUGGUCAUCUAAAGUCUUGUAGAACAAAAACUGAAUGGAAAUAUUAAAAAUUGAAUACUAAAAAGAUUAUAAAACUGUGAGUUUGUGACUGUUUUUAAACUAUGAGUGCAUACUUGUAAUACAUUUAAAAAAAACACUGAAAAUAGAUUCAAAAUGUUCAGAGUGGUUGUUUUUGUUUAGUGGGAUAGUACGAUUGUGAAUUUUCCCCUUGCUUUUUUCUGUCUUUCUAAGGUUUUAAUAUUAAUUGUAUAUUGCUUUCAUAUGUCAAAUAAAAUAUAAAAGACAAAUGUUUUAAAA